UGCACUUGUUGUGCAAUUCUUUUUGGCAGUGUUUGAAUUACUUCUAGUGCUCAAUCUUGGGUUGGCUUCUUGUUGCUAUGCAAGCUUUUCUGUCAAGUGUACUGCACAACAUUCUGAUCUGAAAGCCAGUUGGCGAGAGUUGCUUGCUUAGAAUGAUAAUACUUUUGAUUUCAUUUUAAAGUUAAAGGAUUGUUUUAUGAAGUGUUGUCCUUAGCCUUAAGGCUCUAAAUAGUGCCAUUUUGGACCACUGAAUGAUCAUCUUUGAUAGAGAAGGAAAAGUGUCUUAUUUGCAGAUUGUCUUUAGAUGACUGACUUAAAGAACGUGCUCUUUGGAUGGGAAAACUUCAGAUCGAGUUGUACCAAGGAUAUCGAGAUCAUUCAGGUGUUGGAUGUUCGUGACCUUAAUAAACACAUGACAGCUUUUAUUAUCUGAGGCUUCAAACCCCACUGCGUGGAAGGAGGGAUGGUGCUAAGUGAGGCAGAAAGGGGAAAUGGGUGAGCUAUUGCUUGUUUGGUUUGCUUAUUUGUUAUAACACUACUCGAGCAUAACUUUCUUCAUGACCUUUUAAAUUAUUUGGUAGUUGAUGUACUUCAUUUGAGAGUGUUUUUAGCCUUGAGAUUUAAUGUGGUCAUUGCAAAAGAAUACUGAUGUGCAGACUGUUAACAGAUUUUUAUUCUGUUGCAACACUGGGGGGUAACGGCACUUGUUGUUUGACACUCGCUGCAUUCUGACA
rnacentral:lncRNA from 1 species